UACGUAGGAGGCAAGCGUUGUCCGGAAUUACUGGGCGUAAAGCGUGCGCAGGCGGUUAUGUAAGACAGGGGUGAAAUCCCCGGGCUUAACCUGGGAACUGCAUUUGUGACUGCAUAGCUAGAGUACGGUAGAGGGGGAUGGAAUUCCGCGUGUAGCAGUGAAAUGCGUAGAUAUGCGGAGGAACACCGAUGGCGAAGGCAAUCCCCUGGACCUGUACUGACGCUCAUGCACGAAAGCGUGGGGAGCAAACAGG
rnacentral:rRNA from 1 species